UCCAGCUCUGUACCUGGGUGCAGGGGUAGGAUCUGGGCUCCUUGUGCUGCUGUUACUGUUGAUAGGAGGAGUGCUGAAGUGUCUGCAAUCCAAACGAGACCCUGCUGUCCAGAUUGAACCUAUGUAUGCCACAGUGAAUAAGUCCAAGCAGCCUUCAAAGCAACAGGACGACACCCUCACCUACUCAGAAAUAAACACUGCCCGUGUCACCAAGAAGAAACCCAGAUCUGAACCUGAAGACAAUGUAACAUACGCAACAGUUAAAACUGCCAGAUACUGAGAACCACUGGGAAAAAACUGCUUGAGUGUUUGAAAAAUACCUGAAUAGUCAUUGCAUUAAAAUGGUCUUUCCCUUUUAUCUACAUACUCUCUGCUUUCAUAGGAAUGGGAAAAUAACUGGAAACUGCAAAAUUAAAGUGCAACUAUUAUUAACUUUUUAAAACUGUUGAAAGAAGGUCUUGAAUGAUUCCUGGUCUAUCAUUUUAUAUUCAGUGUGUGUCAGGUUAGAACACAUAUGUGAAGUUUAGUGUGCUUGAGAGAGGCCCAGGACUGAAAGUUCAGUGUGUAAAUUGUUCAGAAUAUGUUUAUUCUUUCCUUUCAAAAUAACUUGAUAAAAGCUUUGAGAACCUAAUCUGUUGUAUUAUGAAUGAAAGUCAGUAGUAAUUCUUAUUUCAUGUUUUUCAUGUGGUUUCUGUUCAUACUGUAAAACAAUUACAUUUAUUUUAAUAACCAGCAGUGGGUUACACAGACCCCAGUUAGCAGCACUGCUAGAUUAUCUUACCUAAGGGACACAGGUAGUCCAUGAUUGGUGCUAAUGUGAGUCUAAUCAAUCAACCACAUCUCUGAGCUACAGCCCCUUCAGCAUUGCUCUGUAUGUAUUUAACUUCAUUGUUAUAAAGUGCACAAUAUGUAUUUGUGUGGUUGUGUUGUCUCUUAUCUAUGAUCUCAGCUCACUGUUUUUUUUUUCAUCAAGGCCACCACCACCAGACAUGUUUUGUAUUGAUGGUCUUUUAUCAUUUCUGUUUAAAAUACUGUGGUUUGCUUAAGCAAGGUUCUCUAUCAUUCUUGUCACCUCGCUGCACAUGCUAAAAUUAAACACUGCAUAAGCCUUGCACAAUGAGGCUGUGAGUAGCAUUGGCU